CGUGGCGUGAGUCGUCUGCUUAAUUGCGAUAACGAGCGAGACUCCGAUUGUUAAAUAGCUGGCAGUUUACUUCGACUGUACAGCUUCUUAACGAGAUUCGCGUCUUCAAGGCGCAAGAAAUGGAGCAAUAACAGGUCUGUGAUGCCCUUAGAUGUCCGGGGCAGCACGCGUGCUACAAUGGUGGUAACAGCGUGAUUGUCCUCGCCCGAGAGGGCUUGGCAAACAGUUGAGAUAUUAUUAUGGCUGGAAUUGAGUGUUGAAAUUUUCUCUCAUGAACGAGGAAUUCCAAGUAAAUGCGAGUCAUCAACUUGCAUUGAAUACGUCCCUGCCCUUUGUAC
rnacentral:rRNA from 1 species